rnacentral:tRNA from 5 species
CGGAGUGUGGCUCAGUCUGGUAGAGCACUGCCUUCGGGAGGCAGGGGUCGGAGGUUCGAAUCCUCUCACUCCGACCA